AACGAACGCUGGCGGCGCGCCUAACACAUGCAAGUCGAACGAGAAGGCGUAGCAAUACGCUUGUAGAGUGGCGAACGGGUGAGUAAUACGUGGGUGACCUACCCUCGAGUGGGGAAGUAACCGCCGAAAGGACGGGCGUAAUGCCGCGUACGCUUCCGUCCUCACGGGACGGAAGGAAAGACUGUACCGUGGUACGGCGCUCAAGGAUGGGCGUCACGUCCUAUCAGCUUGUUGGUAGGGGUAACGGCCUACCAAGGCUACGACGGGUAGCUGGUCUGAGAGGACGAUCAGCCACACUGG
rnacentral:rRNA from 1 species